CCCUUAGAUGUUCUGGGCUGCACGCGUGCUACACUGAUAUUGCCAAUAUGUCAUUCUUAUCCGAAAUGGAUUGGGUAAUCAAGUAAUGAAAUUUCAUGCUUGGAAUCGGUAAUUGCAAUUUUAUCGUGAACGAGGAAUUCCUAGUAAGCGCUAGUCAUCAGCUAAUGUUGAUUAUGUCCCUGCCCUUUGUACACACCGCCCGUCGCUACUACUGAUUGGGUGUUCAAGUGAGAUGCUUAGACCCUUGUUGCAUGGUUCAUUAAUGUGCUCCGAAAGGAAAAAGUUUCAAGCUUGAGUGUCUAGAGGAAGUAAAAGUCGUAACA
rnacentral:rRNA from 1 species